rnacentral:rRNA from 1 species
UACGGAGGAUCCAAGCGUUAUCCGGAUUUAUUGGGUUUAAAGGGUGCGUAGGUGGCCUGUUAAGUCAGGGGUGAAAGACGGUAGCUCAACUAUCGCAGUGCCCUGGAUACUGAUGGGCUUGAAUGAACUAGAGGUAGGCGGAAUGUGACAAGUAGCGGUGAAAUGCAUAGAUAUGUCACAGAACACCAAUUGCGAAGGCAGCUUACUAUGGUUUUAUUGACACUGAGGCACGAAAGCGUGGGGAUCAAACAGG